UAAUUCAGCCACUCGACAGGUGCUCCCCAGUCAGCUUAGCUUGGCUGAUGUGGGGGGAGAAUAGGGAAGACGGUGAGAAUCCGUCGCGGGGCCGCCGCUGUAAUCGGUGAGGCCCUCGGAUUAUCUGCCACUGCCGUGAGGCGGGAAGGCCAUCCGAGGUCCGUGAGAAGCCGAGAGCCAGAAGACCUGCCCGUCGAGUUCUGUUCGA
rnacentral:ncRNA from 2 species